AUGCACGAAAGGGCCCCUUCGCCAAGCGCCUGUCUAGCAAAUGACAGCCCAACUCAGCAAAUGCCCACACCUCCCCGAGGGUCCCCAGGACAUGGGCUGCCUGGUCCUGCUGACUGAAGGCCCCGGCACCUGCAUGAUGGUGGGGCUGUCUGAUUCCGGCACGUGCCCCAGGAGCAGCCCCUGCGGAUGAGGGCUGCUGGCCAGAACAGUUUUAUUUUUGCUGAAAAAUUGAGAAGACAGUACAGAGAGAUCGCAUCUACCACACACCAGUUUCACCGUUGCGAGCAUCUCGCAUUGGGAGCCGGCUGCUGGCAUGGGUGCUGUGGCUGCAGGCCUGGCAGGUGGCAGCCCCAUGCCCAGGUGCCUGCGUAUGCUACAAUGAGCCCAAGGUGACGACAAGCUGCCCCCAGCAGGGCCUGCAGGCUGUGCCCGUGGGCAUCCCUGCCACCAGCCAGCGCAUCUUCCUGCACGGCAACCGCAUCUCGCAUGUGCCAGCUGCCAGCUUCCGCGCCUGCCGCAACCUCACCAUCCUGUGGCUGCACUCGAAUGUGCUGGCCCG
rnacentral:sRNA from 1 species